UCCGACGCGGCGGCUUUCAUCUUUCGAAACUUCUCCGUUAAAUUCUUUAAUUUAACCACUUUUUCGCGAAUAAAGACAACUUUUUGUUGGCAGCCUGGCCAGAAACGUUUUGCUCAAACAAGAAUAGUGACAAGUACUGAGCUAUGGAUUCAAUUUACCUCACCCCCAUCCCCAUCUGCUAGCAAGACCAAGCAAGAUCUAGAGUAUAUCGAGACCGCGUCACCAGAUAUAUUGCUCCUUGUGUAGUGCUGAGCUAUGGAUUCACUUCACCUCAACGCCAUCCCCAAUUUCUAGGAAGGAUCAAUUCAUAUUGUGAACUUAUAGAGCCUGCAUGGUUUCAAGGAAGAUGAGAUGGAGAGAUACAACAUACAUGGAGAAAUCUGUGUCUGUAUCAUAAAGGUCUGUGUGUGUAUCAUGAAGAGGGAUUCAGUCGACUUUUGAAGGAACAAAUAUUUCGGCUCGUCCAUCUGAUGGCACAGACUUGAAAAGAGAAAAGCUACCGCACCAUCGUUCUCUUGGUAAUCAAGCCAAGAUCAGUCCACAUGCUGAGGGUUGCAACUCCAACACCACUAACAAGAUUUCACUGUGAUCAGCUGACUACAACAAAUCUGACUGGAGAAAAUGAUGAAGGAAUCUAAAAUGUUGUUGCACGGACAAGCAAUCUUAGAAUACAAGCACCUCAACGGGAAAACCACUGGUAAUUGAAGCUGGUAGAGCGCUGUGACAUCUCUCGUAAACAAGCUGCCGGUUGUGGACAAGGAUCACGUCAACGUUGCUACACUCCUAAAGCUGUGGCUGUCUUCAGGUCUUUUCUGCCUCGUGGGCAAAUCUGCAUACCAGUGAUUAUAUGCGUACUUAAGUUUUGCUUUGAAGCAAUAUCAGUGCUACACUUGUGAAGCAG